AGCAGCCGCGGUAAUUCCAGCUCCAAUAGCGUAUAUUAAAGUUGUUGCAGUUAAAAAGCUCGUAGUUGAAUUUCAGGCCUGGCUGGGCGGUCCGCCUUUUGGGUGAGUACUGCCUGUGGUCGGGUCCUACCUUCUGGCGAAGCGUCAUGGCCUUAACCGGCCGUGGCGGGGAACCAGGACUUUUACUGUGAAAAAUUAGAGUGUUCAAAGCAGGCAGUCGCUUGGAUACAUUAGCAUGGAAUAAUGGAAUAGGACAGUGGUUCUAUUUGUUGGUUUCUAGGACCGUUGUAAUGAUUAAUAGGGAUAGUUGGGGGCAUUAGUAUUCAAUUGUCAAAAGGUGAAAUUCUUGGAUUUAUUGAAGACUAACUACUGCGAAAGCAUUUUUGCCAAGGAUGUUUUCAUUAAUCAAGAACGAAAGUUAGGGGAUCGAAGACGAUCAGAUACCGUCGUAGUCUUAACCAUAAACUAU
rnacentral:rRNA from 1 species